UAGAAAUGUAAAUUUAAAUUUCAGAUUAGUAUAAGAAAUUUUUUUGAAAAUUAAAAAAUUUGACGGUAUUUUAGUCUUUUUAGAGGAACCUGCCCUAUAAUUGAUAAUCCACGAUAAAUCAUACUUUAAUUUUAAAUUUAUAUAUCAUCGUAGUUAAAUAUAUUAUAAGAUUUAAUAUUUAAAAUUUAUUAUUAUAAUAAAAAUCAGAUCAAGGUGUAGUUUAUAUUAAAGAAGGAGGUGGGUUACAAUAAAAUUAUUUAUGGAUAAUUAAUUGAAAAUUAAUUUAAAAAUGGAUUUAAUAGUAAUUUAAUUUAUUUAAAUUAAAUGAUUUAAGCUCUAAAAUAUGU
rnacentral:rRNA from 1 species